rnacentral:lncRNA from 1 species
UGAGCUGCAGCAAUGGAAACCGCAUAAUUUUUCUCUCCAUUUAAAAUAAGCAAAUGAAUGCACCUUAAUAAAAAAGAAACUAUCAAUCACCGAGAGGGAUGUUUGCUUUUAGUAAAUAAAAUAAAACAAGAAUGUGCUUUCCAAUUCCCAUUAAACAAAAGAAAUGACAUGGUACUCUACCAAAUGUCCCAUCACCAUAAACUCUCACCUAAUUCUACUUUUCAUUCAUAAAACCAAAAGAAAAAUGUUAACUUGCAACCGUAACAUCCACAAAUAUGCCAGGCCAUGAAGCUGAACCCUCUUCUAAUCACAUUUUCCAUCAAUUUCUUAAAAGCAAAAUAAAUGAGUAGCUGCAGCCAAAAUUAAUGUAACACAUUCUCAAAGAAAAGAAGAAAAAUGCUAUUGAAAUCCUCUCAUCCAGAACCGUAC